rnacentral:rRNA from 1 species
UACGGAGGGGGCUAGCGUUGUUCGGAAUUACUGGGCGUAAAGCGCACGUAGGCGGCUUUGCAAGUUAGAGGUGAAAGCCCGGGGCUCAACUGCGGAAUUGCCUUUAAAACUGCAUCGCUAGAAUUGUGGAGAGGUAAGUGGAAUUCCGAGUGUAGAGGUGAAAUUCGUAGAUAUUCGGAAGAACACCAGUGGCGAAGGCGACUUACUGGACACAUAUUGACGCUGAGGUGCGAAAGCGUGGGGAGCAAACAGG